rnacentral:rRNA from 1 species
GACGAACGCUGGCGGCGUGCUUAACACAUGCAAGUCGAACGAUGAAGCCCAGCUUGCUGGGUGGAUUAGUGGCGAACGGGUGAGUAAUACGUGAGUAACCUGCCUUUAACUCUGGGAUAAGCCUUGGAAACGAGGUCUAAUACCGGAUACGACUAGUUCCCGCAUGGGAUGCUGGUGGAAAGGGAUAUGUACUGGUUUUAGAUGGGCUCACGGCCUAUCAGCUUGUUGGUGAGGUAACGGCUCACCAAGGCGACGACGGGUAACCGGCCUGAGAGGGUGACCGGCCACACUGGGACUGAGACACGGCCCAGACUCCUACGGGAGGCAGCAGUGGGGAAUAUUGCACAAUGGGCGCAAGCCUGAUGCAGCGACGCCGCGUGAGGGAUGACGGCCUUCGGGUUGUAAACCUCUUUCAGCAGGGAAGAAGCGAAAGUGACGGUACCUGCAGAAGAAGCGCCGGCUAACUACGUGCCAGCAGCCGCGGUAAUACGUAGGGCGCGAGCGUUGUCCGGAAUUAUUGGGCGUAAAGAGCUUGUAGGCGGUUUGUCGCGUCUGCUGUGAAAGCCCGGGGCUUAACCCCGGGUUUGCAGUGGGUACGGGCUAACUAGAGUGCAGUAGGGGAGACUGGAAUUCCUGGUGUAGCGGUGAAAUGCGCAGAUAUCAGGAGGAACACCAAUGGCGAAGGCAGGUCUCUGGGCUGUAACUGACGCUGAGAAGCGAAAGCAUGGGGAGCAAACAGGAUUAGAUACCCUGGUAGUCCAUGCCGUAAACGUUGGGCACUAGGUGUGGGGGCAUUCCACGUUUUCCGCGCCGUAGCUAACGCAUUAAGUGCCCCGCCUGGGGAGUACGGCCGCAAGGCUAAAACUCAAAGAAAUUGACUGGGGCCCGCACAAGCGGCGGAGCAUGCGGAUUAAUUCGAUGCAACGCGAAGAACCUUACCAAGGCUUGACAUAUACCGGACCGCUCUAGAGAUAGAGUUUCCCUUCGGGGCUGGUAUACAGGUGGUGCAUGGUUGUCGUCAGCUCGUGUCGUGAGAUGUUGGGUUAAGUCCCGCAACGAGCGCAACCCUCGUUCUAUGUUGCCAGCACGUAAUGGUGGGGACUCAUAGGAGACUGCCGGGGUCAACUCGGAGGAAGGUGGGGAUGACGUCAAAUCAUCAUGCCCCUUAUGUCUUGGGCUUCACGCAUGCUACAAUGGCCGGUACAAAGGGUUGCGAUACUGUGAGGUUGAGCUAAUCCCAAAAAGCCGGUCUCAGUUCGGAUUGGGGUCUGCAACUCGACCCCAUGAAGUCGGAGUCGCUAGUAAUCGCAGAUCAGCAACGCUGCGGUGAAUACGUUCCCGGGCCU